GUGGAAGCUCGACACAUUGUGUGACUUGUAUGAAACACUGACCAUCACCCAGGCAGUAAUCUUUAUUAAUACCAGAAGGAAGGUGGACUGGCUCACUGAGAAGAUGCAUGCCCGGGAUUUCACAGUUUCUGCCAUGGUGAGUUUUCUCAGUCUUGUUAAUGAUAGAUGUGUCUUUGUGUGUUAGGAGCCUUAUGCUAGCUGCUCCUAACCUUGUUUUCCAGCAUGGAGAUAUGGACCAAAAGGAACGAGACGUGAUCAUGAGGGAGUUCCGGUCUGGCUCUAGCAGAGUAUUAAUUACCACUGACCUGUUGGUGAGUAGAUGCUCUUUUAAGGAAAGAAAGGGAGAAAAUAGCCCAAGGUGAUUCCCUCUCCAAAGGGCUGACUAUGUGCCCUUUUUAGGAACGUAGCAACUUGGAAGAAAGCCAGGCAUGUCCAAGGUCUCUGGGGAACAAGGAAUACUUGUUUCCUUUGCCCUCCUUUGGCAGCCUACAUAUAUGCUUACUAAAUUAGGGUUGAUAGUGUCCUCUGAUGGCUUUAUUCUUUCUUGACCUAGGCCAGAGGCAUUGAUGUGCAGCAGGUCUCCCUAGUCAUCAAUUAUGACCUUCCCACCAACAGGGAAAACUACAUCCACAGGUAUUUACCUGGUCUGACAGAUCAAACACUCCCUGUGCUUAAAAAAAAAAAAA
rnacentral:lncRNA from 1 species